AGUGAGAGAGAGAGAGAGAGACAGAGAGAAAGGUCUUCCUUUUCCAUUGGUUCACUCCCCAAAUGGCCGCUGUGGCCAGCACACUGCACUGAUCUGAAGCCAGGAGCCAGGCUCUUCCUCCUGGUCUCUCAUGUGGGUGCAGGGCCCAAGCACUUGGGCCAUCCUCCACUGCCUUCUGGGGCCACAGAAGAGAGCUUGACUGGAAGAGGAGCAACUGGGACUAGAAUCCGGAGUACCGGCACCACAGGUGGAGGAUUAGCCUAUUGAGCUGGGGCACCAGCCCAGAACAUGUAUAUUUUCUAUGUUAUGAUCUUAUCAAGGCUAGCCAUGAAAUCCAAAGAGAGUGUUUUCUCACUAGGCAUAUCUCUGCUACCAAAGUAUCUUUCUGGUUUUAUAAUCCAAAAAAAAGCUGUGAUUUUACAACCCACAACUCAGAACUACUACAAAAUUCUUUCUGUGUUUGAGUCCAUUUUAUAGCUCAGCAGAUCUCCUUUUUACCAAGUAAAAUAAUUUGAGGAGUCAAACUAUGUUGCUUCUGGAAAGCCUACCAACUGUCAGUCUUAUUUCUUGGUAGCAACUGAGGUACAACCCAAUGAGUCUUUUUUAUAAGACUUUUUCCCAGUCUACCCAAGGUCACUGGAUCCUAGCAUAAUUACUUACAUGAAAGCUUGAAUCUUGGUACAGCUUACCUCACACAUACUUAGACAAGCUUAUUGAGGUACGCAAUGUAUUGUUUAGAUCUAGCCCAUUUGGUAUAACUCAUAUGGUGGCAGUAAUUGAGUGGAAUGAUGUGUUUUUUACAAUACUGGGAAAUGAAGUUUUACUAUAAGAAAAGCAAAUGUUUUUGGUUAUAAAUAUAGUUGUAUUAUUUGAUAUAUAAGAAGGUAUGUUAUUUAUUUGAAGCUUACAUUUGGUUUAAGGACAUGUUAUGAAUUCAGUAUUGAUAAGGAGACCAUUGUAAUCAACAACUCAACUUAGUCAACUUAGUUGCACUGUUGUGCUGAGUUUGGCAAAAUUCUGUUAUUGAUGCACUGUGUAGACAUUUUGUAGAUGUGAUUAACAUCUGCCAUCAACUACCUAAGGAGAUUAUACUUGUUAACUUAAUGCAAAUUUCUCUAUUAAGAACCCAGAGUGAUACAAUAAAUGCAGACAAGAAAAUAUAAAAUAAAGUUAGUAAUAUGCAUAUCUGCAUGCUCUCUGAGAAAUGGAAUGUGGACAUAAAAAAAAAAAGUUUAAGAGUUUUCCUUAUAGUAGAACUCGAUGACACUGAGAAAACAAGAACAAAUUCAAGGAAAAUUUACUUCAGAAGACAAUAGAAGGUGGAGGAAGAGAAGGUGGGAGACCCCAGACCACUGGAAAGUGGAGAAGAAAGAAAGAGCAGUUCUGAGUCAAGCCACUUGUCAAUAAGAUGCCUGGGCUCCGUUUAAGUAUCAGGUCUUUUCCAAGGUUUCUGCCUGCUCAAAAACUCACAUUUUUAUCAUGGCAUCAGCCCUCAGCUCCUGAUUCUUGUAAACCAGUUUUUAAGAGUUGCCAAAUUUAGGAAAUAAAAAUUCAGGUGCCCAGUUAAAUUUAAAUUUCAGCUAAACAUUGUGUGAUACCAAAAUGUCCCUUUUUUUAAGAUUUAGCUAUUUUACUUGAAAGUUACACAGAGAGAGAAGGAGAGGCAGAGAGAGAGAGAGAGAGAGAGAGAGAGAGAGAGAAAGAGUCUUCUAUCCCCUGGUUCACUCCCCAGAUGGCUGCAAUAGCUGGAGCUAUGCUGAUCCAAAUCCAGGAGCCAGGAGCUUCUUCCAGGUCUCCUACAUGGGUUCAGGGGCCCAAAGACUUGGGCCAUCUUUACUGCUUUACCAGGCCAUAGCAGAGAGUUGCUAUGUUGCAGCUGGGUCUUGAAUUGAUGCCCAUAUGGGACCCUGGCACUGCAGGCGGCAGCUUUACCUGCUAUGCCACAGCACCAGCCCCUAAAAGGGUUUCACUGUUCAUCUGAAAUCCAAAAGUAACCAAUGUCCCAGUUUCAUCCAGCAGCCUACAGUACCAAGGCAAUCCUAGUGGACACAUUCUUAUAAACUCAGGUAUUGGGCUCAGCCUUUAUUGCUAUUUUCCAACCACCUAUGGUGCCCACCUCAGGGUUGUGAAGACGGAAAUCUUUAAGUCACAGAAGCACUUGUAACUGAAGAGUCAAUGUUGGGUCUGGCUUUCCCCAGAGCCUCUAAGCUCUUCUCUUAAUUGAGAUUCCACUGGGCUCAAAUUUCUUUCUCUUCCACAUUUGUUUUUCUUAACUCCAUGCACCAUACUCCAUCUCAAUUUAAAUAUCAAAUAUUUUUUAAAAGAUAGCUUAUGUGUCUUUUUCUUAAAAAUGAGUUUAUGGGGCUGGCACCAUGGAAUAGCUGGGAAAGCUGCCAUCUGCAGUGCCGGCAUCCCAUAUGGGCAUCAGUUCAAGUCCCUGCUGCUCCACUUCCAAUCUAGCUCUCUGCUAUGGCCUAGGAAAGCAACAGAAGGUGACCCACACAGAAGUGGAAGACCCAAAAGACCCCAAAGCUCCUGGUUCCUAGCUUCAGAUCAACCUAGCUCCAGCCAUUGCAGCCAUUUAGGGAGUGAACCAGAAGAUGGAAGAUCUCUCUCUCUCUCUUUCUCUCUCUCUUUCUCUCUGCCUUUCUGUAACUCUGCUUUUCAAAUAAAAAAUAAACAAAACUUAAAAAGAGAAUGAGUUUAUGGGACUGGUGCUGUGGUAUAGUGGGUAAAGCCAGCACCUGCAGUACUGGCAUUCUAUAUGAGCACCAGUUUGAGUCUCUGCUGCUCCACUUCUGAUCCAGCUUGCUGCUAUGGCCUGGGAAAGCAUUAGAAGGUGUCCCAAGUGCUUGGGAACCUGCAUCCAUGUGGGAGACCUGGAAGAAUCUCCUGGCUUCAGAUCGGCACAUCUCCAGUCAUUUUGACCAUUUGCAGAAUGAACCAGUGGAUAGAAGACCUCUUUCUCGCUCUCUCUCUUUCUCUCCCUCUCUCCUUCUCUGUAACUCUUUCAAAUAAAAAAAUCUUUAAAAUGAUUUUAUUAUUCAAUUAUUCAUAUAUUUGUACUCUGUAUAAUGAAAAUAAAUUUUUAAUAAUGCUUUCUAGACUGUUGCUAGAGCAGUGCUGUUCAAACCACUUGUAGGAAAGGACAAGCAUUUUCUUCAGCACAUUCUGGAUUGAUAUUUUGUAAAAUAAAGUAAAGUGUAAAUUAAUUACUAGAAAAAUGAAAUUUGAAAAGGACAGAAAAUAUAUAAUCCUGCUUUUUCAUUUUAAAUAAGAAGCUCCCACAAAAUGAAUCAUUCCUUCACAUGAUAAUUACCAUAUUUUAUUUUAAAAUAUCUGCAACUUUUAUAUUUUAUUGAACUCUUUGAAUAUUUAACUACCUAUACAGAUUCAAUAUAAUUUUAUGGGCUAUUUUUAGAUAACUUCCAUUAUCUCCUGUCAGUAUUGUUUCUAAUAAAGUACUCAUUCCUUCUCACAGUAAUGAUAGCAUGUUGCUUUUCAAUUCAUAUUCGCAGCACAUUUGAAAUUUUUGUUCUUUGACUUUCUACCUACCACCUAUAUGUAUGCAUCCUAAUAUCCUAGUUUAAGUCAGUAUUUGCCCAAUAGAAUGGAGGCCCUCUUACUUGAGUUUUACAUUGUGAGGUCACCAGCUUCCUUAAAGUUCUAUAAGUUGUCCUGGCAACAUUCAAGUACACAGUCUCUCAGAGAGUCCUUAGACUGGGGUAAUCAUUUACCACUUCCAGAGAAGAGAAAGAGGUUGCCCAAGUUCAUGCAGCUUCAGAGGCAGGAACCCAGAUCUCUCCUAUAAUGUCAACAUUUAUGCUUCUAAACACUAGACCACCUUGAAGGCCUCUCAAGAUGACUGCACCAGAAGACUGAGGGACAGGGCAGGAAGAAGAGACAUGCACAAGGUACAUUGCUGCCAAUCAAAAUACCAAAGACAUUCUUCUCAGAUCUGGAAAAAAUGAUGCUGAAAUUCAUAUGGAGAAACAAGAGACCUCGAAUAGCUAAAGCAAUCUUAUACUACAAAAACAAAGCCUGAGGCAUCACAAUACCAGAUUUCAGGACAUACUACAGAGCAGUUGUAAUCAAAACAGCAUGGUACUGGUACAGAAACAGAUGGAUAUACCAAUGGAACAGAAUUGAAACACCAGAAUUCAAUGCAAACAUCUACAGCCAACAUAUUUGAUCAAGGAUCCAAAACCAAUUCCUGGAGUAAGGACAGUCUAUUCAAUAAAUGGCACUGGAAAAAUUGGAUUUCCAUGUGCAGAAGCAUGAAGCAAGACUCCUACCUUUCACCUUGCACAAAAAUCCACUCAACAUGGAUUAAAGAUCUAAACUAUGACCCAACACCAUCAAAUUAUUAGAGAACAUUGGAGAAACCCUGAUAGAUAUAGGUACCAGCAAAGACUUCUUGGAAAAUACCCCAGAAGCACAGGCAGUCAAAGCCAAAAUUAACAUUUGGGAUUGCAUCAAAUUGAGAAGUUUCUGUACUGAAAAAGAAACAGGAAAGUGAAGAGGCAACCAACAGAAUGGGAAAAAAAUAUUUGCAAACUAUGCAACUGAUGAAGGGUUAAUAACCAGAAUCUACAAAGAGAUAAAGAAACUCCACAACAUCAAAACAAACAUCCCACUUAAGAGAUGGGCCAAGGACCUCAAUAGACACUGUUCAAAAGAAGAAAUCCAAAUGGCCAACAGACACAUGAAAAAUGUUCAAGAUCACUAGCGAUCAGGGAAAUGCAAAUCAAAACCACAAGGAAUUUUCAUCUCACCCCGGUUAGAAAGGCUCACAUUCGGAAAUCUACCAACAACAGAUGCUGGCAAGGAUGUGGGGGAAAAGGGACACUAACCCACUGUUGGUGGGAAUUAAUACUGGUUAAGCCACUAUGGAAGUCAGUCUGGAGAUUCCUCAGAAACUUGAAUAUAACCCUACCAUUCAACCCAGCCAUCCCACUCCUUGGAAUUUACCCAAAGGAAAUUAAAUUGGCAAACCAAAAAGAUGUCUGCACCUUAAUGUUUAUUGCAGCUCAAUUCACAAUAGCUAAGACCUGGAAUCAACCCAAAUGCCCAUCAACAGUAGACUGGAUAAAGAAAUUAUGGAACAUGUACUCUAUAGAACACUGUACAGCCAUCAAAAACAAUGAAAUCCAGUCAUUUGCAACAAAAUGGAGGAAUCUGGAAAACAUCAUGCUGAGUGAAUUAAGCCAGUCCCAAAGGGACAAAUAUCAUAUGUUCUCCCUGAUCAGUGACAACUAACCAAGUACCAAAGGGGAAACCUAUUAGAGUGAAAUGGACACUAUGAGGAACAGUGACUUGAUCAGCCCUUGUCCCGACUGUUGACAUACAAUAUAAUACUUUAUCCCUUUUAGUAUUUCUUUGUUCUACUUAAUACCAUUGGUUGAACUCUGUAAUUAACACACAAUUAUUAUUAGGUGUUUAAAUUUAACUGAAAAGUGAUCUCUGUUAAAUAUGAGUGGGAAUAAGAGAGGGAAGAGAUGUACAAUUUGGGACAUGCUCAAUCUGACUUUCCCCAAAAUGUGGAGUUAGAAAUGUGCCAGGGGAUUCCAAUUCAAUCCCAUCAAGGUGGCAUGUACCAAUGCCACCUCACUAGUCCAAGUGAUCAAUUUCAGUUCACAAUUGAUCAUAAUGAUAGGUCUAAGAGUCAAAGGGAUCACACAAACAAGACUAGUGUCUGCUAAUACUAACUAAUAGAAUAAAAAAGGGAGAGAACGAUCCAACAUGGGAAGCGGGAUACACAGCAGACUCAUAGAAUGGCAGAUGUCCUAAAGAGCACUCUGGCCAUGGAAUCAGCCCUUAAGACAUUCAUAUCUGGCUGAAGAGCCCAUGAGAGUAUUUUAGGCAUGAAAAGCCAAGACACUCUGGCAAAAACAAAACAAAACAAAACAAACAAACAAACCCUACCUAAAUGAAAGAUCUCUGUGAGUGAGAUCCCAGUAGAAAGAGCAGGUCAUCAAAGAAGGAGGUACCUUUCUCUGAAGGGAGGAGAGAACUUCCACUUUGACUAUGACCUUGUCAAAAUGAGAUCGAAGUCGGCGAACUCAAAAGGCUUUCAUAGCCUUGGCAACUCAUGACUAGAGCCUAGGGAGAUUACUGAUGCCAUAAACAAGAGUGUCAAUUUGUUAAGUCAACAACAGGAGUCACUGUGCAUUUACUCCCCAUGUAAGAUCUCUGUCCUUAAUGUGUUGUACUAUGUGAAUUAAUGCUAUAACUAGUACUCAAACAGUAUUGUACACUUUAUGUUCUGUGUGGGUGCAAACUGAUGAAAUCUUUACCUAAUAUAUACUAAAUCCAUCUUCUGUAUAUAAAGCUAAUUGAAAAUGAAUCUUGAUGUAAAUGGAAUGGGAGAGGGAAUGGGAGAUGGUAGGGUUGCGAAUGGGCGGGAAGUUAUGGGGGAAGCCAUUGUAAUCCAUAAACUGUACUUUGGAAAUUUAAAUUUACUAAAUAAAAGUUAAAAAAUUAAAGUUUAAAAAAAGUUUCAAAAAUUAUUUUCAUGCAUCAAGAUUUUUAAGGAACUAUAUAGUUAUCUGGUGACCAAAUGAAGACAUGGGUUGAUGUGUCAUGUGUGAGGUAGACAAGGAUAGUGUCUGUGAUGGAAUGAUUGGAAUACGCUCUCCCUGGUGCUGGAUACUCUAUUGUUCUCUUCACCAUUGCUCUGCUAGGUGUAUGUCAUCUUCCUCCCUGUACUAAUGAGGAAGGUAAGGCUCAGAGCUGUUGCCUACCCAAGGACACUUCUGGUAAGUUCAGACUUUUACAGGAGAGAAAGAGUCUUGGGACUUUUUGUGCAGAGCUCUUGUGUUUCCCAUACUCAUGAGCUUGAUCAAAAACAGCUACAGCAACCUGGCCUUCUGAGUAUCUUGACAUCUAACUUAUCAAUGAAAUUCUUAUCAGAUUUGCUUUCUAGCUCAGACCUUCUUCCUGGCAAGGCUAAUCAAAUGCUAGAGAUUGCAAGAGGGGCCCCUUUGUUCUCUCUACAUUUUAUUCAUUCCUUCUCUGACUCCUUUCAAGAGGAAAGCACAGAAAUCUAACAUAAUUUAAAUAUUCUAUAAAAUUAGGGCUAAGUCUAUAAAGCAUGGUGUUUCCCAGUUGCAAAGAAAAAGCAGCUUAUGAGGGAACUUUUCCUAGUUAAAAGAUGAAAACUCCAUUAUGAAUAAAGUCCCUCAUUUAUUGAAGUAAUAAAUUAAUAAGCCAAAGUAACAUGCCUAUUCAUAGAUAAAACUUCAAAAUACAUAGGACAAGAGCAUAAUUAAAAGAUGACUUAUUUCUUUCUUCCUUCCUUCCUUCCUUCCUUCCUUCCUUCCUUCCUUCCUUCCUUUCUUUCUUUCUUUCUUUCUUUUUUUUGGACAGGCAGAGUUAGACAGUGAGAAAGAGAGAGAGAGAGAGAGACAAAGGUCUUCCUUCCAUUGGUUCACCCCCCAAAUG